UUUGUUAACUUGCAUACGCCUGUUUUUAGUUAGUACAUUUUAGUAAUGUGUAUCGGGUUUCAGAAGACAAAAAUACCCUUAUAUAUCAUGAAUUCUAAGUUUAAAGGUCAAGGGUAUUUUAAUAAUUUUCAUUCUCAAAAUUAAGAAUAUAAAAAAAGAAACCCCCAAACCCUUACCCACCUCUCUCAUUCCUCCCAACCCUUCCUCUUUCAUCUCUUUCAUUUAAACCUUUUCUCUGUCAUUCCUACACUAGCCCUAAUUGAAAAAAAUCAGAAACACUUGCCUUAUUUUAAUAAUUUUGAUUCUCAAAACUAAAAAAAGAAACCUCAAACCCUUACUCACUUCCUUCAUUCUUCUCAACCCUAUCUCUUUCAUCUCUCUCACUCAAACAUUUUCUCUGUCAUCUCUGCACUAGCUCCAACUAAAAAACACUCAUUAUUAAAUAAAAUAGUUAGAGAAAAAAAAAUACUUAAAU
rnacentral:lncRNA from 1 species